UCAAAAACAUGGCUUAUUGAGUAUAAUUUUAAGUCUAGCCUGCCCCCUGAAAUUUUUAAAUGGCCGCGGUAUUUUGACCGUGCUAAGGUAGCAUAAUCAUUAGUUUCUUAAUUAGAAGCUGGAAUGAAUGGUUGGAUGAAAAAAAUUCUGUCUCUAUUUAAUUUUAUGUAGAAUUUUAUUUUUUAGUAAAAAAGCUAAAAUUUUUUUAAAAGACGAGAAGACCCUAUAGAGUUUAAUAUAAUUAUUUUAUUAAUAUUUAUUGGAAUAUAAAUUUUUAAUUUUAUAAUUUAUUUAAUUGGGGUGAUUGAAAAAUUAAAUAAACUUUUUUUAUUUUUGACCAUUAAUUUAUGAGUUAUUGAUCCAUUAUUUAUGAUUAUAAGAUUAAAUUACCUUAGGGAUAACAGCGUAAUGUUUUCAGAGAGUUCUUAUCGAAGAAAAAGAUUGCGACCUCGAUGUUGGAUUAAAAUGAAUUGUUGGUGUAGAAGCUAAUAUUAUUAGGUCUGUUCGACCUUUAAAAUUUUACAUGAUCUGA
rnacentral:rRNA from 1 species